UACGAAGGGGGCUAGCGUUGCUCGGAAUCACUGGGCGUAAAGGGUGCGUAGGCGGGUCUUUAAGUCAGGGGUGAAAUCCUGGAGCUCAACUCCAGAACUGCCUUUGAUACUGAAGAUCUUGAGUUCGGGAGAGGUGAGUGGAACUGCGAGUGUAGAGGUGAAAUUCGUAGAUAUUCGCAAGAACACCAGUGGCGAAGGCGGCUCACUGGCCCGGUACUGACGCUGAGAUACGAAAGCGUGGGGAGCAACAGG
rnacentral:rRNA from 1 species